rnacentral:rRNA from 1 species
AGUCGAGCGGAGUGAUGGUGCUUGCACUAUCACUUAGCGGCGGACGGGUGAGUAAUGCUUAGGAAUCUGCCUAUUAGUGGGGGACAACAUUUCGAAAGGAAUGCUAAUACCGCAUACGCCCUACGGGGGAAAGCAGGGGACCUUCGGGCCUUGCGCUAAUAGAUGAGCCUAAGUCAGAUUAGCUAGUUGGUGGGGUAAAGGCCUACCAAGGCGACGAUCUGUAGCGGGUCUGAGAGGAUGAUCCGCCACACUGGGACUGAGACACGGCCCAGACUCCUACGGGAGGCAGCAGUGGGGAAUAUUGGACAAUGGGGGAAACCCUGAUCCAGCCAUGCCGCGUGUGUGAAGAAGGCCUUUUGGUUGUAAAGCACUUUAAGCGAGGAGGAGACUACUUAGAUUAAUACUCUAGGAUAGUGGACGUUACUCGCAGAAUAAGCACCGGCUAACUCUGUGCCAGCAGCCGCGGUAAUACAGAGGGUGCGAGCGUUAAUCGGAUUUACUGGGCGUAAAGCGUGCGUAGGUGGUCUUUUAAGUCGGAUGUGAAAUCCCUGAGCUUAACUUAGGAAUUGCAUUCGAUACUGGGAGACUAGAGUAUGGGAGAGGAUGGUAGAAUUCCAGGUGUAGCGGUGAAAUGCGUAGAGAUCUGGAGGAAUACCGAUGGCGAAAGCAGCCAUCUGGGCCUAAUACUGACACUGAGGCACGAAAGCAUGGGGAGCAAACAGGAUUAGAUACCCUGGUAGUCCAUGCCGUAAACGACGUCUACUAGCCGUU